AGGAUGUGAAUGACGCAUAAAUCAAGAUAACCCAGCCAGCUUUAUAAUUGCAUUCAAACAAAAGUUAGGCGAGUCGCUAAAACUGAAAGAGUCGCAGCAAAUUUAAAACACCAAAAUAUGUGGAGAGCUGUCAAGAUAAUUACUCACAGCUGGCUGAUAAACUCAAAAUGCAGACUGAGGAAGUUACAGUAAGGUUAACGGGAUUUUAAAAAUUUGGUGCACACAACGGCUAACGGCGAAGUCCUAAAAGAAAUCUAUAUAUUGUUCUUAGACGGGGAAAUGUGCUGUGUCAGUGUGCAUUAAUUUGCAGCAGAUAUAGAAAUUCAUACUGGUUCAUUGAUGACAAUGAAGAAGGAGGAAGAAAAUGGGAAAAAAGUGAAUAUGUGAAAAACAAUUGCAAUCCGAACAAGACUAAAGAAGGACGUUUCAAAUGCUCUUGGAUUAUACUAUUUGUGUCUUUAAACAAUAUUUUACUGAAAAGAGGGAUUGAUAAAAAUUGAAAUUCAAAUAUUGCCAAGUUGUAUUGUGUUUGCAAUUGAAAUUUCAACUGCCUCAUUAUAUUAAACGUUUUAGAUUUGACGGUGUGCCUAAUCCAGUCAGUCGUAGAUGCAAGUGAUGCAGAGGAAGUGUGGAGUAUAAUUCGACAUUUUGAAUACAUUUUAAGGCAGAAACGUGAAAGCAAGACGUAUUAUUAUUUAUUCUUAAACUCUGUAAGCUUUGGCAAAUGUUUUUGUUUAAUUAUUGUUAUAAUAUUGAAGCAAACUUAACAGAAUUUGUUAGAAACUAACAAAUAAAUUGUACAGUUUA